rnacentral:lncRNA from 1 species
UAAUAAUUUUACUUGUAUUUCAAAUAACGUAAUGAUUAUUUUGAUUGUAAUGAUUAUUUUGUCAGUUUAGACAGUUGAAGCUCUGACUGAUGUCAACUGCAGCUGGAAGCACAGCUGAAUUUCAAUGUCAAAUCAAUAAUUUCCACAAGUCGUUGCCGCGGGAAAUAGCUCGACAGUUACUUUUAUAUUACGUAUCUUUAGUAUCUGCGAUUAAACUCGUCUCAUCUGCCUUUUUAUGUUUCGGGCAUGAUUCUCUGAGUGAUUCAUCUUUAGCUGCGCCCUCUGUCUUGUUAUCAGCAGUUUCACAUGUGCAGUACUUGAUUUCUACACAAGCGUUUCGUCUUCCUUUGCGAAUACAGCCUGAAAAGUCAGUUUCCGGGUCCGCUUGUGAUGUGGCCAUGAUUAAACUCAGUGAAUAGUAUGAUCAACUGCUAAUAUCACUCAUUCAGUGAAUCAGAGCGACUAGUUUUGAUUAUCUGUAUAAUUCUAAAUAAAACUAACUGGCCAAUAAUUAAGGAUACUUUGUAUGGAAACAAACUUUAGGAGAGUCCAGACUGCAGAAUUGUUCAGAGUAAAAUAACAAACACGUUUCCUUGUGAUUACCGAUAGCAGCAAGUUUCCAACAGUUACGCAAAUCACAAUAAUUGCGUUUUUGCCGUCAUGCAGUCUGUACAGAAAAGGACUUCAGUCAACUGUCAGUAACAAUGGCAGCACUUUGAAUUUUUCUGCAAAUAAUACAAUUGAUUAAAGAGAGAGUACAUGCAGCAACAGACACCCAAUGUUUCACAAUAAUACUCGACAGACAAUAGGCUGCGACUGUAAUACAAAUUGAUGAGAUUGAUAGAGUUUCGAAGUGAAACGACGUCUAUUAAUGGAAACGUGUGUAAAUGUGGACUUCAACAAUCUAGAGUGGAAUGUAGACUACAAACUGUAGUUAUAACAAGAUGUAGACUUUUUGACUUUGUAUCAAUGAUAACGUCUAAAUACCGAGCACAAUGUAACUGUUGCUACCACUUUAAAAGAAUAUUUAUCAUAAAUAAAAUAUGAAUCCAAAUUGCACUUCAACAAACUAAUCCGAGAUCUGAGUCUGUAAACAAACACUCACGAAAAUUUAAAACUGGGUCAAAGCAAGACGAACGUAGCAAGCAAGAAUGGCACUUUCUUGCUAUAAGCAGUUCUUGCUCAAUAGCCAAUUCAGUUCUGGAUCAUAGAAUCCUAUUCCAAACCAUAUUACCGAGUAUUGCCCCACGGCCACGUACAACACAAACGGCUA